GCAGUUGUGUCCAGUUUGUGUAUGUGAGUGUCUGCGAGUUUGUGAAAGAAAAAAGAAAGGGAGAAAAAGAGAGAAAGACAGAGAGUUCUGAGUGGAAGGACCUGCUGUGCUAGAUUAAUACUGGGUGCUCUGAGGGGGGCUUCCCCCAUUCAUUACUGACUGAUGCCCAUACCAAAUUGAUUUAUGGAAGCGGCCCUUAAUCAAUUAUGUGUGGAGAGAGAGAAAAGAGAGAAGAAUGCAGGGAGAGGGCAAUAAGAGAGCGCAGAGAGGAGCAGAGGAGAAGCAGACUGUAAAGGCCCGGCUCCUGUCUUCACAGAUGCUUCUGGUGGAUGCUCUUUAUCACUUGAGCCCUCUGCUAGACUGUGUUAUAUCCGUAGGCCUGCUCUCUAGAGAAAACCGUUAUGAAAUUGAAGCUGAACGAACGCCACCCAACAAAGCCCGAAAGCUUCUAGAGAUUGUUGACGCUCAGAUGGAUGAAAGUGGAGCCUCUAGUUUCAUGGAGUGUCUGAGAAAAUGCAAGAACCAUUACCCGCGUCUACGAACCUGGUUGACCUCAGAAGAAGGUAUGAUGUGGCUAAAGUUGCGUUCUGUCUUAAAACAUAAAUGCAGUAGCAUGAUGUAAAUACUAAACAUUUUGUGCUCUCAUACUAGAUCACUUCCAACCAUCAGGCAUUCCGCAGGGUCCAACAGGUAAGACAGUCUCAGCGUUUUCACGUUUAUUUAAUGUAAAUAUCUCUCAGCCCUCACCAUUGUCCUGUCUCCAUGCAGAACGUCAACUGCAGGCCCAGUUUAAUGUUUUGUGCUCACGCUUGGGCUGUUCUGUACUGCCGGUCUCCUACGAUCUCUUCUCCAGAGGCAUUCUGACUCAGCUGGAGCUGGAGAAAAUCCAAGCAAUACUCAUCCCAACACAGCAAGCACAAACCCUGCUGUCCAUCUGCCUGAAGAAAGGAGAAAAAGCAUGCAAGAGCUUUUACACAGCGCUAAAGAAUGAAGACGAGCAGCUAGCUGAGGAACUUAAUGGUCAGCAGAACUUUUCCAACAGAAUCUAAAUGGCGAAAACCUUUACUAUUGGUCAAAUAUUUGGAAUAAUUAAGCUUUUUAAAUGUUUUUUAAAGAAGUCUCUUUUGCUCAAGACUGCAUUUAUUUGAUAAAAAAUAUAUCAGUAUUAUAAAAACAAUAAUAUCAUGAUAUAUUACGAUGUCAAGUAACUGAUUUCAGUAUAUUUCAAAAUGUCAUUUACUGUAAAUGCAAAACAGAAUUUUCAGCUUUUUUUUUUGAAUUCUUCAUACUUGAUCUGGCAAUUAAUAUCAGUGCCGAGUUAUUAAUAAUGGUUCUUAUUAAUAUCAUUGUUGAAUUUUUCUGCUCAUUUUUGUGGAAAAUAUUUUUUUUUUCAGGAUUCUUUGAUGAAUAGAACAUUCAAUGAACAGUAAUUAAAAUUUCUUUAAUGUCACUUUGAUUAAUUUUAAUGCCUCCUUGCUGAGUAAAAGUAUAAAUUUUUCUUUAUUUCUUUUUGCCUCAAACUUUUUUUAUGGUAAUCAGUUUAAGCAAAAAUAUUACCACAGAAAAGUAAUAAACAUCAGUUAGAACUCCUAAUAUUGUUCCA
ensembl:lncRNA